AUUUAACAGAAAGUACCAUGCAGGAGCCUAUGGAGGUAGAAAAUAAUGUUGCAAGUGGAAGCAGCAGUACAUGUAGUAAACAAAAAAAUGACAUAUCAUUAGAAAAUGAUAUAAAAGAAGCAAGUGAGAUAUAUCUCAAUGAACCGAUGGAAGUAGAUUUUCUCGACUCUUUAUUAGAUGACCAAAAAAGGUUAUUUUAACAGAUGAAUACAGUGAAGGACAUGAACAGUAUAUUCAUCAUACAAAAGAAAGGAA